rnacentral:snRNA from 1 species
AGGAAGCCAAUUCCGCUG